rnacentral:rRNA from 1 species
AUUUAGUUUACUAAUGAUCUCUUAGUGGCGGACGGGUUAGUAACGCGUGAGCAACCUGCCUUAAAGAGGGGGAUAGUCCUGGGAAACUGGGUUUAAUACCGCAUAAGCUCCUGCCAUUAUAGGCAAGGGUAAAGCUGGCUUCGGCUAGUGCUUUAAGAUGGGCUCGCGUCCUAUCAGCUUGUUGGUGAGGUAAAGGCUCACCAAGGCUACGACGGGUAGUUGGUCUGAGAGGACGAUCAGCAACACUGGAACUGAGACACGGUCCAGACACCUACGGGUGGCAGCAGUCGAGAAUCAUUCACAAUGGACGAAAGUCUGAUGGUGCAACGCCGCGUGUGGGAUGAAGGCCUUAGGGUCGUAAACCACUGUCAUAUGGGAGUAAGUCUUAUAAGUUAAUACCUUGUAAGAUUGAUAGUACCAUAAGAGGAAGGGACGGCUAACUUCGUGCCAGCAGCCGCGGUAAUACGAAGAUCCCGAGCGUUAUUCGGAAUCACUGGGCGUAAAGGGAGCGUAGGCUGUAAGGUAAGUCAGAUGUGAAAUCUCAGAGCUCAACUCUGAAA